UAGAGUUUGAUCCUGGCUCAGGACGAACGCUGGCGGCGUGCCUAACACAUGCAAGUCGAGCGAGGGGAGUUCUUCGGAACAAACCUAGCGGCGGACGGGUGAGUAACACGUGGGUAACCUGCCUCAAAGAGGGGGAUAGCCUCCCGAAAGGGAGAUUAAUACCGCAUAACAUUAUUUUCUCGCAUGAGAGAAUAAUCAAAGGAGCAAUCCGCUUUGAGAUGGACCCGCGGCGCAUUAGCUAGUUGGUGAGGUAACGGCUCACCAAGGCGACGAUGCGUAGCCGACCUGAGAGGGUGAUCGGCCACAUUGGAACUGAGACACGGUCCAGACUCCUACGGGAGGCAGCAGUGGGGAAUAUUGCGCAAUGGGGGAAACCCUGACGCAGCAACGCCGCGUGAGUGAUGAAGGCCUUCGGGUUGUAAAGCUCUGUCUUUGGGGACGAUAAUGACGGUACCCAAGGAGGAAGCCACGGCUAACUACGUGCCAGCAGCCGCGGUAAUA
rnacentral:rRNA from 1 species